rnacentral:rRNA from 1 species
UACGUAGGGGGCAAGCGUUACUCGGAAUCACUGGGCGUAAAGAGCGCGUAGGCGGGAUAGCAAGUCAGAUGUGAAAUCCUAUGGCUUAACCAUAGAACUGCAUUUGAAACUGUUAUUCUAGAGUAUGGGAGAGGUAGGUGGAAUUCUUGGUGUAGGGGUAAAAUGCGUAGAUAUUAGGAGGAACACCAGUGGCGAAGGCGGCCUGCUGGACGGUGUACUGACGCUGAGGCUCGAAAGCGUGGGGAGCAAACAGG